rnacentral:rRNA from 1 species
UGGGGAAUAUUGGACAAUGGGGGAAACCCUGAUCCAGCAAUGCCGCGUGUGUGAAGAAGGCCUUCGGGUUGUAAAGCACUUUGGGUGGGGAAGAAGGUGAAGUGUUUAAGAGAUGCUUCAUUUGACGGUACCCGCAGAACAAGCACCGGCAAACUCUGUGCCAGCAGCCGCGGUAAUACAGAGGGUGCAAGCGUUAAUCGGAGUUACUGGGCGUAAAGGGCGCGUAGGCGGUCUAUCAAGUGGGAUGUGAAAGCCCCGGGCUUAACCUGGGAACUGCAUCCUGGACUGAUAGGCUGGAGUACUGUAGAGGAUAGUGGAAUUUCCGGUGUAGCGGUGAAAUGCGUAGAGAUCGGAAGGAACACCAGUGGCGAAGGCGACUGUCUGGACAGAUACUGACGCUGAGGCGCGAAAGCGUGGGGAGCAAACAGG